GACGAACGCUGGCGGCGUGCUUAACACAUGCAAGUCGAACGGAAAGGCCCUGCUUUUGUGGGGUGCUCGAGUGGCGAACGGGUGAGUAACACGUGAGUAACCUGCCCUUGACUUUGGGAUAACAUCAGGAAACUGGGGCUAAUACCGGAUAGGAGCUCCUGCUGCAUGGUGGGGGUUGGAAAGUUUCGGCGGUUGGGGAUGGACUCGCGGCUUAUCAGCUUGUUGGUGGGGUAGUGGCUUACCAAGGCUUUGACGGGUAGCCGGCCUGAGAGGGUGACCGGCCACAUUGGGACUGAGAUACGGCCCAGACUCCUACGGGAGGCAGCAGUGGGGAAUAUUGCACAAUGGGCGGAAGCCUGAUGCAGCAACGUCGCGUGCGGGAUGACGGCCUUCGGGUUGUAAACCGCUUUCGCCUGUGACGAAGCGUGAGUGACGGUAAUGGGUAAAGAAGCACCGGCUAACUACGUG
rnacentral:rRNA from 1 species